rnacentral:rRNA from 1 species
GGAGCACGUGGUUUAAUUCGAUGCAACCGAAGAACCUUACCUGGGUUUGACAUGUACGUGUUACUGAUCUGAGAGGAGAGGGACCCAUGCUUCGGUAUGGGAGCGUACACAGGUGCUGCAUGGCUGUCGCCAGCUCGUGUCGUGAGAUGUUGGGUUAAGUCCCGCAACGAGCGCAACCCUGCAUCCAGUUGCCAUCGGGCGAGCCGGGCACUCUGGAGGGACUGCCGGCGACAAGCCGGAGGAAGUGGGGAUGACGUCAAGUCAUCAUGGCCCUUAUGUCCAGGGCGACACACGUGCUACAAUGGCCGGCACAGCGGGAAGCGGAGGGGCGACCCUGAGCGGAUCCCUUGAAAGCCGGUCCCAGUUCGGAUUGCAGUCUGCAACUCGACUGCAUGAAGUUGGAACCGCUAGUAAUCGCGGAUCAGCCAAGCCGCGGUGAAUACGUUCCCGGGCCUU